rnacentral:rRNA from 1 species
GGUAGGCCCACCAAGGCAUUGAUGGAUAGGGGUUCUGAGAGGAAGGUCCCCCACAUUGGAACUGAGACACGGUCCAAACUCCUACGGAAGGCAGCAG